AUAUGAGGAAAUUAAAGCUUAGAAAGCUUAUCUUUCUCAAGAACUGAUCAAAUUCCUGUCUUAGAAAUUAGAAAUUGGGAAAAUGAAUCCAUUCCUCAUAGAAAAAUUUUAUUGUAGACAUACAGUAGAGAAUCAGUUCCUAAUGGAAAAACUUUAUUUUUAUUUUAUCAUAGAGCAAGAUCAGGAAGAGAUCUCCCUCCACACAGGGGAAGGAAAUUGUUUUUUUUUUUAUUAUGUAUGAGGCUGAGAUUGAAGGUGAUGGAAAGGAAAUAAUUGAAUAUGAGGGGUCGAAACACCAUGUGAGGAAAGAGGGUAAGGGCUCUCUUGGUGGCUAGGGCUUUUCAUUCUUGUGUUGAUAACUGUAAGAGACUUCCUUUCUCUGGAGUUCAUUUGAAUUGAUUUUUGGUUCUUUGUGACCUAAAGGUCCAAAUUAAAGCAGACCUGUAUAUUUGCAUAUAUUUGCUAGCUUAGUUUCAAUUAAGUAGAGGAAAUCUUGACUGAAAAGUGAUUAUAUUCCAGAAGUGUAUUUAUGAAUUUGAUUGGAAUGUAGAAAAUGGUUUCUCAUGAAAACAAUUAUAAGUGAUAAUUAUAUUCUUUAGUUAGUUCAUAUAGGUUGUAUCAGGUUGAACUACUAUAUAUUAUUAUGUAAUAAAAAUAGAUAACACUAUUGAAAUAUGUUUAUUAAAGUAAAGUCAGUGAUUCAAAUGAAGACUAAAAUAGUUUUUCUCAAAUGCUGGUACCUGAAGAAAAGCAGACUUAAUUAAAGAAGCAUAGGGUAGUAGAUAUAAAUUUACAUGACAGUUUUGGCUGCUUCAUAUUUAUUUAAAACAACUGUAUUGAAGGUGUUUAGUAUCCAUGACAGAUAAUUUGUGUUUAAAACUGUAAUGAAAUGAGAAAGGAUGGAGAUCUAUUUCUUUGGUCUGUGAAAGAUAGAGGGAAAGGAACAUGAUACAUGAUCCCUACCUCCUAUGUUAAAAGCAUUAUUUGUGGGCACCAAAUUUCUGUUCAUUGGUUCUCAAACUCUUGGGUCUGUGGACCACUUUAUACUCUUAAAAGUUAUUCAGGACACCAACGAAUUUUUGUUUAUGUUGUUAUGUCUAUUGAUAUUUUUUGUACUUGAAAUUAAAAAAGAAAUAUUGAAUAUAGAAACAUACAUUCCGUUAGUCAUCAGAGUGAUUAUGUUAUCACAAGGUCAUAUAGUGUCUGAGAAACUCCACUGUAUACUCAGAAAAUGAGAGUAGAAAAGGCAUUUAACCUGUUAGCCAUAUUAUUAAAAUAGUUUUGACUUUAUAGCUAUCCUGAUCAGGUCCUGAGUGAGAAACCCUGGAUCAAACUUUGAAGACUGCUCCUGUAGUUAUAGUAAUUCUGUUUUGAAACUCUUUAUUUUAAAUGGGAGAAGACUUUAGUCUUCUAAAGUUGAUGCAAGAAAUAAACCAUUUUCAGAAUGUGUAUAUUUUAUGUUGAGCAAACUCAUCACUCUUAAAUUCAGUUAUUUUACAUAAUGGAAGAAAACAAUUUGAGUUGACUUUGUAUUUAGUUUUAGAUUGGAAGACCAAAAUAUGAAGAAAAAAAGAGAUGGAUAGUGUUGAUUGUAGGGGUGUGUGUGUGUGUGUGUGUGUGUGUGUGUGUGUGUGUGUGUGUGUGUUGGGGAGAAGUGUUUUGGUCAAAUGGAAUUGAGCUGGUACUGGAAAUGUGAUCUCCGUGGCUCAUCUAAUGGUGGUCAUUUUGCUCUGUUUUUAGCCAUACAUUGUGGUUCACUAUAUGGCUGUUACUUGAGUCCUAUACCAGAAAGACUUAUGAUGGGUUGGCGCACAGAAAUGUCAUAUUUCAAUCACGACAUGAGAAAUGGUUGGAUUGCCUGUCCUACUAGGAGAUUCUCGACUGACAUUUUAUCGUGUUAUUGUGUUCCACGCUAUUUAGUUCCUUCUGGAGCCUUCCGAAUUUCACAUGCACUACUUUCAUCAGCUCCUGCAGAGUGGAUAACUUACCUAGGGACCCAGGUCUUGCUGGACAAGCAGGCAAUUGUGAACAGGGACAGACUGGCCUUUUUUUUUUUUUUUUUUUGACUUAAAUUUUUAUAUUUUUUGCGUUUUAAAGUAUAGAUACUCAUUUUGGCAGUUUAUUGAAAAGUAAAAGCCAGUGAGUUUUCUGUAGGAAAUACAUAUCUUUAUCUGAAGUGGAAAGAUUGUGUAAAAGUGAGCCUAACUACCUGCUGGCUUUUCUUUCCAUAUUCAGUAACUUUUACAUUGUAACUGAAACAUUUUUCUAUCUCUAAACUAAGUAUAUCUUUGUUUUCUGGUACAUAUUUCUGUAAUGUAAACAUGCUUGUGUAGAUAUGAAGAAAACAAUGAGAAGCUGUUCUGUAUGCACAAAAUAUGGUGUCUUGUGGGGGUUUACUAAGGAAGUAGAAGGGAGGGAUUUAUUUGAGGAGCUUUAAACUAGUUGCAAACUGGGAAUUUAUUUUGUAUAUCAUAAAGGUAUAAUUCUGCCAUCAGUUUAAAAGAAAAACAAGAUUUUGGUAGACUCUUGACUAAAUGACUUUAACAAUGUUAGAGAAUUCUAAAAACUGGUAUAAAUCAGACUGCUGUAGGAUAGCAGCAAAAAAUUGGGGCUACUUUUUCGAUGUGUACUCAUUAUAAUUAGGUGUCUCUAUUGGCAUUAGGUAACAGGAAAAUUUGAUAUGUUGUAUUUUAAUGAAAUAAUGGCACUUUAUAAAACUGAAAGUUAAUUUUAAAUAUUGUUUAGCUCAGCCAGCCAGAAUUUUGAUGUGGAUGUGGAAGAAAAGAGUCACCUUAUAAAGUGCAAGAAUAAAUAUAUAUAUUUUUAAAUGCUAAAGUAUGAAGUUUAAAUUUUUUUGCUGCUUUUUGAAAAUAUGUAAGAACUAAAUUAGGUUUUUGAUUAAUGACUAGUUAAUAACAGGGAAUAAAUAAGCAUGAUUCUAAAAAUCAAAAUAGAAUGAAUUAGGAAUUGUUAAGACUUACGACGCUUUAAAAUUCUGUAUGAGAAAAUAGUGUAUUAUCAAGGGAUGAAUUGUGUUUUGUGUUGAUCGGGAACUUUGCUAUUUUUAAAAAUUUAUUUCUAUUUUCUGCAAUUAUAACAUUGUUUCCCAUCUCUCAGACUGAAUUUGAACUGAUUUCUUCUUAACACCAUUAAGCAACUUAGUAAUCAGUGGCAUUUAAUUUUUGUAAAGCAAAACUUAGGGCUUAGGGGGCUUCCAAUAAAACUAAAAAGCCAUUGAAAUUGUUUUGUUUGGAUUUUAGUUUAAAUCUGUGUCUAUCCUGCUUUAUAGCUCUCCCUUUGACUAAUAGAUUAACAGUGCCUUUUUCUGUGCACAGGUUUUAUGCAAAAAAGUAAAUUUUCUUAAUGUCUUCUAUCCUUCUUUUUGACAUUCAGUAGCCAAAUACUUUUUGCCUUAUCUUUACAUUAAGUAGCAAGAACAGUGUAGCUUGAAUAGAUUAAAGAUUAUUGUGUUGGAGUAUUUUUUAUCAUAUAAUGCUAUUAAGUUUUGCAGAAUUUCUGUAGUACUCUGUUUCUCCCAUUAGAAGAAGAAAGAAUUAGUUGUAUAAUAGAUAAAUUUAAAAUUGUAUAAUAGAAGCCCUAAUUGGGUAUUUGUGGAAAUGCAAGACUAAUUGUUUUAUCAUUCUUCUGGUAAGAAGUAAAAGCAUUGUUUUUGGUGAGAAUGGCACGUAGAGUUAGAAUUCAGCCAGACAAUUGGGGCUUCAACUGUUUUUACGAAUAAAGAGUAUAAUGGCCUAUAGAAACCUAAAUUUUCAGAAAUAUACUGAUUUCUGGCUUAGCUGAAUUUCUUAGUUUUGUUUGUUUGUUUUUGUUUUUAAAGCUAUCUUUCCAGCAAAGGAUAGAAUGUUAAAUACUUAGAAUUCUGAAGCAUGAUUUGGUAUAAAAUGACCUAAAAUUAUUUUUUAGUUUAUAGUAAAUACUGGGUUAAUUUUUUAAAGUAUAUUUCUGAGUUGCUUAACAUUUUUUUUGCAGUAUUCAAUGUUAAUUUUGAAAAGAAAUGUUUCAGCAAAAUUUUAAAACUGUUUUAGCACUCUUCUGCAGAUGAAUGGGCAGUCAGUGUCAGUCUUAAAAUUCUUUUGCAAGGUAACCAAAAUUAUUUUUCUCUGUGCAGUAGAAACAGUUAAAAUAAUGUUUAUGCACUGGGUUUUCUCCUGAUGUUUGAGUUUUUAAAAUUGCCACAUAGUCUGAAAAUGAUUUCAUUGUGCUGGAAAUGCUUUGGGGAAGAUUUAUUUUCUUUGUAAGUGGAAAUUGAGCACCACCUGUUGGUCAAACAUAUGUAUUUUCAUUUGUGAUUUCAGCAAAAAUAUUUUGUUGUUAAGUAAUUACAUUUCUUAACAACAGAGGUCUUAUAUAAUUCUGUCACAGUAUAGAUUUAUAUCUAAAAACUGUAUUUCAUAAAGUUCACCCGAAUGCCUUUAUUAUUACAGAUUAUAAAAUGAUCCACUUUUAUCGUCUUUACUGUAUAAGUAAGAUGUACUGUAUAAGUAAGUUUUCCUAACUUUAUUGCUAUAUUUUGCUGAAUUAUAUGUUACCCUCUUAAGGAAGUGGAUGGUCUUAACCCUCUGUGUACCUAUUAAGUUAUUAAAAGAAAUAAUUAUUUUAUUUGCCUUAUGUGGAAACUAUCAAAUUGAGGAAGAACAGUUUGACGUUUCCUAUGUUAUCUAUGCAUUAGCUGAAUGCUGCUGGAUUUAAUGUUUUAGAAAAAGAAAUCAUUUUCUAUUUGUUUUUCAUUCUUAGUAGCAGUUUGAAGUAAAAAGAAAGUAAGAAUUCUUACACUAGAAAAAGCAAUUACUGUUUUUAUUGCAGCUUUUAAAAUAAUUUUACACUGUCAUGCUGAAUGUUUUAUUUUGCUUGAAAUGGAUACUUAUAACUCAAGUAGACAUUAAUAAAGCAAAUUACUAAUUUUAAAAUGUUAAUUUUAAUAAUUGAUAUGAAUACAAAUGUUAAUAAAACUACUCAGAGCAAAGCAAAAAAGGUCUGAAGUGACAUUUGAUACUCUCAGAGAUGUGAAAACUAUAUUUUCAUUAAGACUAGUUGCAGAAGGCAACUGUGGUACUUCUUUCACUACUGACAUCAAAGUGAGUGCUACAGCUGUAUCAAAGUCUUAACCCCUCAUACAUUAAUAAUGUACAGUAAAUAAAUCAGUCCUUUUGGGUUUUAGGGAGGUUGAUCUUUUUAUUUUAGGUUAUACUUUCCAAGAAGAAAUUCCAUGCUUAGUGUUAGAUGUAUUUUUGCCAAGAAAACAGUAUAAAUACAGCCAAAAGAAAUGUUUAAGAAAUUUACGUUGGUAUUUUAUAUAUCAUAACUGAAAGUAACUGACUUUUUAUAUAAAAAUUAAGACUAGUAGUGUCAGCUAUAUUAGAUUAUUUCAAAUCAUGAAUCAUACCCCAAUUCCCCUCAACUCCUGUUGCUUUUUCCUAUAUCCCUUUAAUGUUACCACUUCUUGCUAGUUUUCCAAGCUAGAAACUUCAGAGUCAGUCCUGUCUCAUCUUCCCCAUCAAACUCAGUUUCUAAGCACUGGCAAAGACUCUUCAUUCUCUUCUCCAUACUACUGCUCUGCUUCAGUCUUCCUCAUUCCUCUGACUAUUCCAGUAGCUACCUAACUAAUUUUAUUGUUUUUAAUCUCUUUUCUAUUUCACCUUAUCUUCAAUAGCACUGAGACAUUUUUUGUUUUGUUUUUCUACUAAAACACUUGGCUGGUCAUAUUAAAAUUAUUCUUUAGAUCUCACUUGCCUACUAUGCAAUCAAAUCUAAAUUCCUUCAGAUGGCAUUUUACUGGGACCUUAGAAUCAGGUUCCAAUCUACUGCCUUACUUUUUCCUCUUCCCUUUCCCACCCAUUGAAACCAAAUGUCCUCUCCUUUGUGAACAGUCUUUUGAAGAAUUUAAUUAUACUAAUUUGAGCUCUACCAGCAAUUGGAUCAUAUUACUAGAAGGUCUUUUAUUACUGAAAGAGUUGUUAGUUUAUACUGGUAUAAAUAGUUAUGAAGUCCCUGAAACCGGUGACUAUGUGGUUUUGUUUGUUUGUUUGUUUGAAUUUUGAAUUUUAAGUCCCAGGCAUAGUCCUUGGCACACAAGAGGCUAUAAACUUAAAGAGUUUGUCUACUUUGUCUCCUAGAGCAAUUUACUUAAUUACUCAGUCCCUAAAUGUAUUUACAUGUGUAAUGUGCUUAGAACAGUGCCUGAUACAUAAUAAAGGCUCAAUAAAUGUUAACAUUUAAAAAACAAAAUAAACCAUUUAAUAUACUCAAAAUUGGGGGAAGUACACAAAUUUGAAGCAAUUAUUUAAAGAUGUUUUUGUAGUAAAAUAUCACAUUUUGAAGCUAAUUUAAAAUCUUGACUAUAUGAAAACCAUUGUAACUGAGUAAUGAAUGGUUUAAAGUUUUAGUGAGUUUGCUCUUUAGAGUUUAAUAAAAUAUGUGUACAUAUACAAAUAACUGCUUAAUCUUGUCUUAAAGUUGUCAUAUUAUGUUAAAGUAAUAUCACUCUAAACUGUUUACCAAAAUGUUUUUUACAGCUACAGAGAAAUAUUGUUAAGAAGAUAAAUAAAAAAUUGACACCUUUUUUUUUUAGGUAGACUUUUAAAUUAAAAGAUGAAGGCCUAGUAUAGGUUCCCCCCACCUCCAAAGUCUGGAUUAUAGUAAUAUUAGUAGAAGGUUUUAAAAGACAACUGUGGAAUGUUUGAAAUAAGUCAUUCUAUCACAAGGCUUGUGGCAGAAAUAGACUUCCUGUGACUUGACAGUCUUAGCUUUACUAGUGUUUUUGGUUGGUUGUUUUUACUUUCUUCCAUCCUUAAUGACUUGAUGAAUUUCCUCAUCAUUUCCAGCCAAGUUCAAAGUAAAUAUUUCCCUGAUUUUCUUUCCAUGGUUUUAGAGGGAGGAUAGAUGGGUACAUAAGGAAAUGUCAAUUUUUUUAUAACAUAUGAUGUUAUAGUUAAAUUUUAUUUCUUUAGUUAGAAAUCUUUACCAUUUGGCAUUGGGAGAUAAAGGUUAAAAACAUCCAUUGGGAAAUAGACCUCCGAAUCUAGACAGUUCUCCUCAAAAAUUCAUAAAAGCAUUCAUAAUGAAUGAGAAUCACUGAGUAAUGUUAAUAUUAGCUUAGAUUGUAAACGCAAGGUAUUUUUAAGGAGUUUACAACUUCUUGGAAUUAUAAAAGGUGUUUUUUCAGACAAUGGGGUAAAAAGAAAUUUGAUUCUUUGUGGGGUUGGAUCGUAUAUUUUGUAAUCUAGUAUCAUUAAAAUAUUGCAUAACUUUAAAAUAUCUUGGUAUGUAUCAUUUUCUUUCUGUGAAUGCUUAUGUUGGAAACAAGUAUACCUUUGACAGUCUGUGUUUAAUAUUAUGCGUGUCUGCUUUGAAUUUUUUCUUUUUUGAUUGACAUACAUUACUCCUGAGUGAGAUGCUUACUGUUGAUAAUAUUCUUAAAUAAUUUGUGCAGUCUACAAUUAAUAAUUUAACUGCAAAUGGCUUUCUGUUGACUCUUUGUAUGUUAUUUCAUCUUAUGAUUAUAAAAGAUGCCAUAAUUUAGUAAAUUAAUUUAUUUGGGGAAUUUAAUUAAACAUUCAAGGAUGAAUACAGUC